rnacentral:rRNA from 1 species
CCUACGGGUGGCAGCAGUGGGGAAUAUUGCACAAUGGGGGAAACCCUGAUGCAGCGACGCCGCGUGAAGGAAGAAGUAUUUCGGUAUGUAAACUUCUAUCAGCAGGGAAGAAAAUGUCGGUACCUGACGAAGAAGCCCCGGCUAACGACGUGCCAGCAGCCGCGGUAAUACGGAGGGGGCAAGCGUUAUCCGGAUUUACUGGGUGGAAAGGGAGCGGAGGCGGUUUCGCAAGUCAGAAGGGAAAGCCCGGGGCUCAACUCCGGGACUGCUUUGGAAACUGUGGAACUAGAUUGCAGGAGCGGUAAGUGGCCUUCCUUGUGUAGCGGUGAACUGCGUAGAUAUUAGGCG